GGUCCCUUAGCUCAGCUGGAUAGAGCACCUGCCUUCUAAGCAGGUUGUCGCAGGUUCGAGCCCUGCAGGGAUCGCCA
rnacentral:tRNA from 5 species